AACAUAAGUGAUGGUGACUGGAACGCUACCAAAACAGAAAUAUAUCUUAUGGAUGGCAAUGCAUAGGCGUUUGGAAACAGUUGACAGAUUAGCCAAAUGUGGAAUUCAAACUGAUCAGUCAUGCAUAUUAUGUGGGAGAGAUAUUGAAGAGACACAUGACCACUUAUACUUUGAAUGUUCAUAUUCACAAAGUCUGNNNN
rnacentral:lncRNA from 1 species